AAUUUUAGCUCUGAGGGA
rnacentral:snRNA from 1 species